UACAGAGGGGGCCAGCGUUAUUCGGAAUUAUUGGGCGUAAAGGGCGCGUAGGCGGCCAUGCGUGUCUUCCGUGAAAUCCCUCGGCUUAACUGAGGACGUGCGGAAGAAACUGCAGGGCUGGAGUCCGGGAGAGGAGGGUGGAAUUCCCAGUGUAGCGGUGAAAUGCGUAGAUAUUGGGAGGAACACCGGUGGCGAAGGCGGCCCUCUGGACCGGUACUGACGCUGAUGCGCGAAAGCGUGGGGAGCAAACGGG
rnacentral:rRNA from 1 species